rnacentral:RNase_P_RNA from 1 species
CUACAGGCCCGAACUAUCGCACCAAACUUGUUUGGUGAGGAAAGUCUGGACAGUACAGGGCAACCCACCGGUGAACAGCCGGGUCUUGUGCAAACAGGAACAGAAAGUGCCACAGAAAAUUACCGCCACGCUGCAAAGCAGGUAAGGGUGAAAAUGUGAGGUAAAAGCUCACAAUGCCGGGCAGUAAUGCAAGGCAUGGGUAAACCUUGGGUGCUGUAAUGCCACGUAUAGUACCGUUUUAAGAGCGGCCCGUUCAAGGUACAGGGUAGGCAGCAACACUGUAACAGUAAUGUUGCAGGCAGAUAAAUGAUAGUGUUAAAACAGAAUCCGGCUUACGAGGUUUGUAGUACA